GCCAACAUGGCUCCAAAAUCCGCCCUCCGCCCCCAUCUCCCUUUCAAAACCCGAAUCGCCGUCGCCCUCCUCGGCGCCGUCACCGACGGCGUCCGCCGGUCCGACGGCACCAUCAAUCGCGGCCUCCUCAACCUCCUCAGCAAGAAGACAUCCCCCAACCGCUCCCCCAUCAACGGCGUCUACACCGUCGACGUCACCAUCGACCCCGCCCUCAAUCUCCGCCUCCG
rnacentral:misc_RNA from 1 species